GUAGGUGGCAAGCGUUGUCCGGAAUUAUUGGGGGGUAAAGCGCGCGCAGGUGGUUCUUUAAGUCUGAUGUGAAAGACCCCCGGGCUCAACCGGGGAGGGUCAUUGGAAACUGUGGAACUUGAGUGCAGGAGAGGAAAGUGGAAUUCCACGUGUAGCGGCGAAAUGCGUAGAUAUGUGGAGGAACACCAGUGGCGAAGGCGACUUUCUGGCCUGUAACUGACACUGAGGCGCGAAAGCGUGGGGAGCAAACAGGAUUAGAUACCCUGGUAGUCCACGCCGUAAACGAUGAGUGCUAAGUGUUGGGGGGUUUCCGCCCCUCAGUGCUGCAGCUAACGCAUUAAGCACUCCGCCUGGGGAGUACGGUCGCAAGACUG
rnacentral:rRNA from 1 species